rnacentral:rRNA from 1 species
UACGAAGGGGGCUAGCGUUGUUCGGAAUUACUGGGCAUAAAGCGCACGUAGGCGGACUAUUAAGUCAGGGGUGAAAUCCCGGGGCUCAACCCCGGAACUGCCUUUGAUACUGGUAGUCUCGAGUCCGGAAGAGGUGAGUGGAAUUCCGAGUGUAGAGGUGAAAUUCGUAGAUAUUCGGAGGAACACCAGUGGCGAAGGCGGCUCACUGGUCCGGUACUGACGCUGAGGUGCGAAAGCGUGGGGAGCAAACAGG